GUGCUCCCUUGGGUGGUACGUAAGCUACAGUUGGAACGACGCAGAGAAGGUUAGUGUGGCCGCUGCAGAUGGAUGGCAUGUAAUUCACGAAGGAACUGAGAUAAAAGUUG
ensembl:snRNA U6 U6 spliceosomal RNA